AUUCCGCUUUAGCCCAGCCCGCUUGAUUGUCGCAAAGAUCGCACGGAAGAUGCGGGGAGAGUAGGAAGUGUUCCCGCCUCUUGUUUUACCCCUCUUUCCCCUGCUUUGACCUUGAUACUGGUGACAACCGCCUUAUCACAAAGAAAACAAAACAACCGUCUUGUCACAAAGAAGGCGGGGACACUUCCUCCUAUAGACGUACAUUUCGAGUGCGCUUCUUUGCGAAAAUCAAGCAGGCGGGGCUAAAGCGGCAUUUUUACCAAUUUUUUUUUUCGACUAUUUCGGUUGCGAUACUGUGCAUAGUUUUUGUUGGGCCUGUGGUUAUACGUGGAGGACUUCAUAUUUCUGUAAAAAAGAAAGUGAGGUUCGCUUGGCAAUUUUCGAAGUUCAAUUGACAAAAAUAAAUUUCCCGCAAUUCAAAAUUGUCCAAAGCCUUUCUCAAUGGUGGCAAAAGUUUCCAGAAGGCCAGUUAGCAAGGCAAGUCGCCAGUUAGAAUUUUUUAUCACUUUAGGUGAAACACCCUGUAUUCCAUUGCACGCAUACAACUUUGGCUCACAAUCAAUAUUCGGUUACUGGUAUUUACUGCAAACAUCAAUCAAAGUACAUUAAAAUAUUUGUUAAAUGGGACACAAGAGGUAAAUUAUGAAUUUAUUAUGUCUGCAAGACUUACUUCCUAAUGAGCACAUUAGUAUGUUAAUUAUGCAAAUAUAAUACGUAUAUCAUACAGCCCUAGGCUUUACGUAGCGAGGCAAUUAGAAAGAAGUGAUCACCACAUAAGUCAGAAUUGAACUCUCUCAUUUGGAGCCAUGGAUGUGCAGCUAAUUCGUGUGUAUCAUGUAGUCAUCAAACAUUCAAUGUCUAACACAUAACAUAAAAUCCUAUUCUUGGCAAACACUUUAGAAACUGCUGCUUCGCGUUAUGAAUAUGCUUCUUCAACAACAUCCUAAGUCCUAAUUAGCAGACUCAUAGUGAAUGUGCUGUUCAAUACCAGUACUGUAACCGAUUACCACUAUGAAGUUUAGUUUUGAAAAUGAGCAACUGUAAUUGUAAUGUAAUUACAUUUUGUCUGUAAUUUGAAUCUGAGGGGCAGUCACUUUUGGCAGUGGCUUAAACAGAACCUUGUGCUUUAUCUAAAUUAUCAACAUCUAGUAUCUGUAGUCAUUCUGUGGGAAGCAUCAUGAAAUCUGGAUGUUUUAAACGUACACAGUAAGUAGUAACUCGUGAUUAAUUCAUUUACAUUUUAUGAGUGCUGGUAAUUGUGACAGAAUUAUAUUUUAGCUCCAAUAACUUAUCCUGCAACUUAAUUACAAUAUUUGAGUACCAUUCUCCAGCUCUGUAUAAUAGCACGACCACAAACACAUUUGCGCACUAGACGCGUGAGGAUGUGCGUUCUUCACAUUAAUUAGAAAUAAACCAAAUUUAAUUAUUAGUCACAUCUAGAGGAAAUACAAAAUAGAAUGUCGGGUAGAAGGCAAUGCCACACAUGUCCCAUGUUUUGGGGCCACUGAAGGCUGGCAUGUGAUUUGAAGAUGACAAAAGCACGAUUCAUGCAGUGGGAACAUGCCGACGUGAACAUGAAAUGAAUUUGUGCAGAGAAGGCACAUGAGUACUUGUUUUUCGCUGCAGCAAGGCCGUACCACGGGACGGAGAUCAUGCGGAAAAUUUGUAUGUGUAAAUGGCAUACUACACAAAUGUAGUGUGUAUGUGGUGUAAUGUAGUGUAAUGUAGAUAUGUAUAGAUGUCAUGUAUGGGUAAUAAAUAGCUCCUAGAAAAAAAAAAAGUCAGGCGUUACUUUAUGAACAACCCCUGAAAAGUAAGUACUGCAAAAUACUCUGAAUGCAUAAGACAUCAGCACAAAAUUUGAAGUAGAACAGCAGUAUGAUGCGAGUUUUUUUUAAUAUGAUUUCAUGCCAUAUAAUUCAUGCCUGAGAAACGACAAGCUCAAGCCUGGGGAAGUCCAAUUCUGCAGGAGGGCGAUAUGAAAAACCUGAGGUUGAAACCAGAAUGAACGACUUGCAGACUAACAAGGUGGACACACACAUGAAAUUGCACUUGUACUUUCUCAAGUACUCUAUGCAAUCCUAAAAUAUAAAAUCUAUAGGACCAUCAUCUAAACGAAGUAACUGAAAUAUGGUGAGCCAAUGGCAAGCAUGGCACAGGGUGCUUCUUCCACUUUUGAGUGGAGCUUUGUUGCAUAAUUGUCACACACAUUUUAUGGCUACAUGUUACACACUCUAUUAAUAAUUAAAAAUACAGAAGCACAAUAACUACUAAAAAACCUGAUGCUCGGAACACAAUUCAUAAGGUGAUUUGCGACCAUGAAUGCCAUAAGGCAGUGGCUGAAAAUGUCUAGGAAAUUUCUAGCUGUCGCAAAAAAAGGAAAAGCAUCAACAUGCUAUUGUCAACGUCCUUUAGUAGAAACUUGCCUUUCCCGCUUUUCUCUGAACUGUGUCCUUUGCGGGUGCUCGUGGGCAAUAUUAACUGGUGUGUUUUGGUGAAUAUUUGCUGGUUUGAGCUGUCGUCUGCGUUGUCCUUAUUUGUUAGUUUCCCAAGUACAGGCUGUGUUUUCCAUGCCUCAACAUCCCCACCACGAUUUACACCAUAUCACUCGCCAGCAGUGGCAUAGCCAUUUUCGCGUAGCUUAGGAAAAAUUAUUUCGGAAGGGGUUCUAUGGGGACUUUACAUGGGGGAGGAAAACUUCACCCUCGUUUCCCACCCCAAACGGGGGGAUGAACCUCGAACCCCACCCCCAUCUUGUGCACUGUGACCGUGCACCGAACCCUUUAUCCGUAGCGCGGAGUUUAUCAUCUCUUUCUCUAGCCAUUGUGUAUAUUCUAUUGCGGUACCAAUUUAGUUGCUCCACAGUACCAAUCAGUACAAUUCGUAGAACGGUAGAAAAAGAGACGAUGAGCGAGUAUUCGAUCGAGAGAUCGAACCUACGGAGUGCUUCGGUCAUAUCAUUUCUUUCUAAGAAACGAUGUUUGUUCUCAAUCUCCGUGCAAGCCUUCUGUGGGCAUCUUGGUGAAGCAUAUCUACAUUUCUAUCAUCAUCCGUGACCAACACGUCAAACAUCUGAACUGUGGGACGAUCGCCGAAAAUCGACGCGACCGGUUUACCGAUUGAACUUUGUCAGUUGUGCUCCUUGACGACGGUGCAGCAAACUUGAAAACAAAUGAUCUGCAAGGUAUGCAGUCAAAAGCUCGAGUAAUGUGAACUUUUAUACACUUCCAUUUGUACUUUUCGGCUCCAGAUUAAACAAACGUCGCACGGGAGGUCAAAACUAACUUUUCCGUCCGUGCAUCACACAGUCGCCAGCCGAAAACAUUAGGCUUACAUAAUGCACGCAAGGAUUCAUGUUACGCUUGCAACGAACUAGAUAGACGGCAGAGCUUACCUUUGUAUUUCCUAAGGCGACACGCACACAUAAAUUCGCUGAUCAUGAAGCAUUGCACAAAAUCCACGGCACCGGGAACAGCACAAGGAGAAAGUUCUGAGUUCAAAAUUUUUUUUCGCGCUCGUCACGACAUCGGACUACAAAAACGCAUCGGACAGUUCACCUGGCUGCGUAUUGCGCAUGCGCCACGGUGACUGUCACGUGGUUUAAAGCACUCACGUGCUGUGUCGUUUCCUGUGCCGCGAUUCUCGAUGUGUGUUUUGGUAUUUUCUUGUCCCUUUGUCGUUUUUUUUCGUAGUUUUUUUUUUUUUCAUCUUACAUUGGCAGGAACAAGUGAGCUGUAAAGGGAAUAAUAUGCAGGACAUGGCAAGGCAAGGGCACGUGCAAAACUGGAGGGCAGUACCUCUCCAUGUUCGCUUUGUGGAAGCCUCUCAGUAGAUGUCUGCCUGCAGCGUAAGCAGCAGUUCUGGUGGAACGGAACAGUUCAGCCACAUGUGUGCACAUCGAUUCCUAUGUCACCCUGGGGGGGGAACUGCUUCCGAAAAUACAGAGAGCCAUGUUUGAAAAGUCAUACCUAGGUCGAAAAGACAUUUCGAUAGCAUCCCAGUUUCGAAAGUGGAUGCGAACUACAACAAUUUGAAGCUGAUGACAGGAACAAGCUCUGACUCUCGAGCCCAUACCUUUCGGUCAUAGUUAGAUAUUACCCCGGUGGUUACUCCCUGCCAGCUACUUUCCGAAGAUAACAUACCAGGCCCUAGACCGGAUUCACAUAACAAGCGCUCGCACAGUAUCACCAUUCAAGAGGCGCUUGCACUACGCCCAUCGUGUCUUGCGUGUGUCUCAGUCACACUGAUAUUCACACAGACGUAUAACAUUGAGAUGAAACUUAAAAACAAUAAAACGCAACGUGAAAUGUCAACACGUUAUAUUACUCUCCCACCUUGCCUCCUGGUCUUGUCGUUGUACCCAUCACUGAAGAAAAUAAUAAAUGGCUCAAUGAUU